ensembl:lncRNA LINC00879 long intergenic non-protein coding RNA 879
AUCUUGGGGCGACGGCCAGAAGUCCAGGGCUAGGAGCCUCAGCCGGCGGACGCCAGGAAACAGGCUCCCUCUGCAGUGGAAUUACCCUUAUGUCUUUUCUGUCUAUGCUGAUCCACCUGAUCUUGAACUGGUGCUAUUCCAUGGGGAAAAUUGGAACAUGGGGCAAUUAACACUUUCUCCACUUUAUCCCAUCAACAGGAAAUUGAAAUAUAACCAACUAACUCAGGAGACAUCAUGGAAGAUGUCACACAGUGAAUGAUGAUGAAGCAGAAUUUUUAAAAUGUGUAGGAUUACGAGAAGUGGGGUCAUUUUUCUUUGUGUAUGGUAUUGCUGAUGCAGUUUAAUGCUCCAUUACUUCUAAAUUUUCAUCAUAAGCUAGAUUUUCCAGUUGUGGUUUCUAUAAAGAAAAACAAACAUUCUGAAGACAGUUUUUCCAGAUUUAUUCCAGAUAUCGAUGAUUAACUUUUGAAGGUCUAGGUUAAUAGCAGGUAAUUGUGACAAGUCCAGUGUGGGUUACUGGUCAUGAAGAAUCCAUUGUUGAUGACAUCCCAGAAGAGAACACUAAGUCUUAGCUUUCAUCUUACCCCUGAACUUCCCUUCCUCUGAAGCACUCAUUAGGUGAAUAAACAAUAUUCCCUAUACCUAUAGAGUGGAAUACCACCCAGCAUCCUCUCACAUACAAAGAAAGAACAAAUUGCUGAUAGACACAGAUGUCCAUCAAUCUCAAAAGUCGUCAUGAAACCUCUGGAAGAAUUGAGCUGGUCGACUAUGCAAACAGUUGUCAAGAGCCUAUAAAAUAUGCAGCAUAAAAUUUUUCCUUUGUAGUCAAACCUGAUUAUUCCUCUUAGAUACUGGGAACAGAAUUUCACAGUCGUCAGAGAAUAUACCUUUUGUAUUUUCGUAUUAAAUAUGUACUCCUAUUACUUAACAAUUGUAGUUUAACUCCUUUUUUAGGUAAAAUUCUAAUUUUUCUCUUCUGUUAAAAAUUUCCAGUUCCAACACGAAGAUAAUAAAGAAUAUUAAUUUUAUCCUUAUUAACUUGAA